UGUGCACUGGUCAGAGCUUGGAGCUGUCAAAGCAGUGGCUGGUUGGUGAGCUCGUAGUGGAGGUCCUGAGCUCCAGGAGGGGCAAGGUUUUUGCUAACAUCACAAGGGUCUCUGGCCCAGUGAGUGGAAUUGGAGACCAACUUUUGCUACAAAU